rnacentral:snRNA from 1 species
CUGCUCACUUCAGCAACACAUAUACUAAAAUUGGAAUGAUGCAGAGAAGAUUGCCAUGGCCCCUGUGCUAGAAUGACACACAAAUCUAUAAGCUGCUCCAUAUUUUU